rnacentral:tRNA from 1 species
GUCACCGUGCACGAUCAGCAGGGGCGUGGGGGCGAUCCUCGGCACCGCCUCCACCGGGGAGAGGGGGACCGGGUCCCAGUCCCGGUGGUGGAU